rnacentral:rRNA from 1 species
UACGUAGGGUGCGAGCGUUAAUCGGAAUUACUGGGCGUAAAGCGUGCGCAGGCGGCGCGUUAAGACAGGUGUGAAAGCCCCGAGCUUAACUUGGGAAUUUGCGCUUGUGACUGGCGUGCUGGAGUGUGGCAGAGGGAGGUGGAAUUCCACGUGUAGCAGUGAAAUGCGUAGAGAUGUGGAGGAACACCGAUGGCGAAGGCAGCCUCCUGGGCCAGCACUGACGCUCAUGCACGAAAGCGUGGGGAGCAAACAGG